rnacentral:lncRNA from 1 species
AUUUUUGAAAGCAACAAAAAACCUAGAGUAAUUCUGAAACGUCUUCACUUAGAUAAGAGGUCAUAAAAGAAAGAAGCCAGGGGCCAGCUCCGGGGCUUCCGUGGACUCCCGGGAGGUCAAGAAGAGGCUCGAGGGAAGCGCAUGUACAGAAACCCGGAUUUCUCCUGUCUAGCUGCACCUGGGACCAAAGAUCAGCUCCCACUGAAAUUGCCUACGUGCCUGACGACUGAAAGACAGAAUUAGAAGCACUCUUCGCUGAAUGUGUGAAUGCUGCAGGAACUCCAGUUAAGUUCUGGACCUACAGGGUUGAAAGUCUGAGUCUCCGGAGGGCACAAAAGAAUGACAUCUUCCACCCCCUGAGACAAUCCCUCUCUUACCUCCACCUAUCAGAAGGGACUUUUUACUCAGUUGUGUUGAAAACCCAAGCUUUAAACCUGCCUCCCGGCUGCUCCAUUGGAACGUGCUACAGGGGAUCUUGUUCCACCCAACCAGCUCCAGGGAGGGGUAAGCACGCACCGCACCGCUGGAUGGUGGGACGUGCAGAACAUCAGGGGAACAGAGUGAGGCGGAGUUAAGCACGUGCUGUGACUAAUCAAGGCCAGCCUGGGGUGUGGCUGUCGUGAAAGAAAUCACUACCCUAUGGGCCCCCAGUUCCUCACAGCCUGAGAAAACAGUCUUGACUCCCAGGG